rnacentral:RNase_P_RNA from 1 species
UCAGACGGCCGGGCGGUCGCGGUCCUCGCAAGAGGGUCGAGGAAAGUCCGGGCUCCACGGAAACAAGGCGGCGGGUAACGCCCGCCCGGGGUGACCCGAGGGAUAGCGCCACAGAAAGCAAACCUCCUCCGCUUCGGCGGCGGGAAGGGUGAAAGGGUGGGGUAAGAGCCCACCGCGGACGUGGCGACACGGACGGCAUGGCAAGCCCCGCCUGGAGCAAGACCGAAUAGGGAUUCCGCGCCUCGUACGUCCCUUCGGGGAUACGGCGGGGCAGGGCCGUUUCCGGCCCGAGGCGUCCGGGUUGGUCGCGAGAACCGUCCCGCGAGGGGCGGUCCAGAGGAAUGAUCGUCGCGCGCCCGCAAGGGCGUUGGCACAGAACCCGGCUUACAGGCCGUCUGAUCCG